rnacentral:rRNA from 1 species
GACGGAGGAUGCAAGUGUUAUCCGGAAUCACUGGGCGUAAAGCGUCUGUAGGUUGUUUAAAAAGUCUGCAGUUAAAGGUUGAAGCUUAACUUCAAAAAUGCCGUAGAAACUUUUAAACUAGAGGAUGGUAGGGGUAGAGGGAAUUCCUGGUGUAGCGGUGAAAUGCGCAGAUAUCAGGAGGAACACCGGUGGCGAAGGCGGGUCUCUGGGCAACAACUGACGCUGAGGAGCGAAAGCGUGGGGAGCGAACAGG